rnacentral:sRNA from 1 species
UCAUUUUUUUACUAGUUUUUCCGGAUGCUCACCAAAUGUGAAAAAAUCUCUAAGUUAUGAUUCAAUAUUUAUGAAACCAAUCAGCCAAUUGCGGUACAAUAAAGUUGUAAUGCACUAGUUCUUCCGCAUACUCGCCAAAUUUAUG